rnacentral:rRNA from 1 species
UCAAACGGUCGUUGGUUGAGGGCAACUUCAAGUAACGGCAGUGGCAAACGGGUGCGUAACACGUGAACAAUCUACCUUAAAGUGGGGAAUAGCUCGUCGAAAGACGAAAUAAUACCGCAUGUUGUGGCUAGCCUCAUAGCAAGCUAACAAAAGUUGGGGACCGCAAGGCCUAACGCUUUAAGAGGAGUUCGCGGCCUAUCAGCUUGUUGGCGAGGUAACGGCUCACCAAGGCGAAGACGGGUAGCUGGUCUGAGAGGAUGAUCAGCCACACUGGAACUGAGAAACGGUCCAGACACCUACGGGUGGCAGCAGUUUCGAAUUAUUCACAAUGGGCGAAAGCCUGAUGGUGCGACGCCGCGUGAGGGAUGAAGGUCUUCGGAUUGUAAACCUCUGUCACCGGGGAGGAAUUUUUUUGGAGAAAUACUCCAAAAGUUGACUUAACUCGGAGAGGAAGCAGUGGCUAACUCUGUGCCAGCAGCCGCGGUAAUACAGAGACUGCAAGCGUUAUUCGGAUUCACUGGGCGUAAAGGGUGUGCAGGCGGCAAAAUGUGUGGAGCGUGAAAGUCCGAGGCUCAACUUCGGAACUGCACUCCAAACUAUUUUGCUAGAGCAUUGGAGAGAGUAGCAGAAUUCACGGUGUAGCAGUGAAAUGCGUAGAUAUCGUGAGGAAUACCAGAGGCGAAGGCGGCUACUUGGACAA